CUGUAAGCCUGUGAAGGUGGCCUGUGAGGGUUGCUGGAGGUAUCAGAAGUGCGAAUGCUGACAUAAGUAACGAUAAAGCGGGUGAAAAGCCCGCUCGCCGGAAGACCAAGGGUUCCUGUCCAACGUUAAUCGGGGCAGGGUGAGUCGACCCCUAAGGCGAGGCCGAAAGGCGUAGUCGAUGGGAAACGGGUUAAUAUUCCCGUACUUGGUGUUACUGCGAAGGGGGGACGGAGAAGGCUAUGUUGGCCGGGCGA
rnacentral:rRNA from 1 species